rnacentral:lncRNA from 1 species
AUGACUCUUCAAUACUUCCAUAGGGGUAUUCUCGAUGCCAUCAUGUUUAUUGUUAUAGCAAUAUACAUAUGUACACAAAUUGCACUUAGGAUGUGGUACUUCAGGACUAAGAAUUGUAUAUGCUUCAAGCAACUUAAAUCUUUCAAGUUAAGUCAUAUAAGCCAUAUAAUAGACUUUAGAUGCAUAUCAAGUUUUCAUGUCAUGCUANNN